UACGGGGGGGGCAAGCGUUGUUCGGAAUUACUGGGCGUAAAGGGCUUGUAGGCGGCCAACUAAGUCCGACGUGAAAUCCCCAGGCUUAACCUGGGAACUGCGUCGGAUACUGGAUGGCUUGAAUUCGGGAGAGGGAUGCAGAAUUCCAGGUGUAGCGGUGAAAUGCGUAGAUAUCUGGAGGAAUACCGGUGGCGAAGGCGGCAUCCUGGACCGACAUUGACGCUGAGGAGCGAAAGCUAGGGGAGCAAACGGGG
rnacentral:rRNA from 1 species